GAUGAACGCUGGCGGCGUGCCUAAUACAUGCAAGUCGAGCGAACAGACGAGGAGCUUGCUCCUCUGACGUUAGCGGCGGACGGGUGAGUAACACGUGGAUAACCUACCUAUAAGACUGGGAUAACUUCGGGAAACCGGAUCUAAUACCGGAUAAUAUAUUGAACCGCAUGGUUCAAUAGUGAAAGACGGUUUUGCUGUCACUUAUAGAUGGAUCCGCGCCGCAUUAGCUAGUUGGUAAGGUAACGGCUUACCAAGGCAACGAUGCGUAGCCGACCUGAGAGGGUGACCGGCCACACUGGAACUGAGACACGGUCCAGACUCCUACGGGAGGCAGCAGUGGGGAAUCUUCCGCAAAGGGCGAAAGCCUGACGGAGCAACGCCGCGUGAGUGAUGAAGGUCUUCGGAUCGUAAACCUCUUUUAUUAGGGAAGAAAAAAUGUGUACGAAACUCUCCACGUCUUGACGGUACCUAAUCAGAAAGCAACGGCUAACUACGUG
rnacentral:rRNA from 1 species